CGGACGGGUGAGUAACGCGUGAGAAUUUGCCUUUAGGAGGGGGACAACAGACAGAAAUGACUGCUAAUACCCCAUAUGCUUUCGAGUAAAAUGGAUUUUUCCGCCUAAAGAGAAGCUUGCGGCUGAUUAGCUUGUUGGUAAGGUAAUGGCUUACCAAGGCGACGAUCAGUAUCUGGUUUGAGAGGAUGAUCAGACACACUGGAACUGAGACACGGUCCAGACUCCUAUGGGAGGCAGCAGUGGGGAAUUUUCCGCAAUGGGCGAAAGCCUGACGGAGCAAUCUCGCGUGAGGGAUGAAUGCCUAUGGGUUGUAAACCUCUUUUUUCAGGGAGGAAUAAGUGACGUGUACCUGAAGAAUAAGCAUCGGCUAACUCCGUGCCAGCAGCCGCGGUAAGACGGAGGAUGCAAGUGUUAUCCGGAAUCACUGGGCGUAAAGCGUCUGUAGGUGGUUUAAUAAGUCAACUGUUAAAUCUUGAAGCUCAACUUCAAAAUCGCAGUCGAAACUAUUAGACUUGAGUAUAGUAGGGGUAAAGGGAAUUUCCAGUGGAGCGGUGAAAUGCGUAGAGAUUGGAAAGAACACCGAUGGCGAAGGCACUUUACUGGGCUAUUACUGACACUCAGAGACGAAAGCUAGGGUAGCAAAUGGGAUUAGAUACCCCAGUAGUC
rnacentral:rRNA from 1 species